AAUGUUUUACCAUCAACUUGUGACAGCAUUUUAUUUUACUUGCUCAUAAAAAACUCAGAGUGAGUUUUCUUUUUAAUGAAGGUAUUGACUUUUACAAGAAAAAGAUUGCUUUUGCAGUGGGAAGCUGAAGAGGUUAUAGUUUACUUUGAAUAUUUGUUUGCUAGUUUCUAUUACUGAUAAUUUGCAUCAAACAUGGAGUUCUUAUACAUUCUUAUAAAAAUAAGAUAACAUUUUCACUUUAAACUCAGGAUCCUUUAAAUAUCAGAAACAAGAAAAAGAGAUAAUUGACAAAGGAGACUGACUGUUUACAGGGGCAUUUACUAUAGAUUCAGCAGGCAGCUGACAGCCAAGCAGCUACUGGGGUAAAAUCCACACGGUCUUAACAAUCCUGAAAUUUGCUGAUUUCAGUGACAGAUUUGGAACUGCCUUAUGGUAAAAUCUGAAUACUCUGCAUUGCUUGAUUAUUCAGGUACUGGUAUACUAUGUGUCUUUGGUAUUUUGUGUAUUCUGUAUAGUAGCGGGUUUUUUUGACUUCUAAAAAAUCUGUCCAGGAAAAAAAGAAGAAUUCACCAAGCAGCUAACUCAUUAGACUAGUGUUAGAUGGCUAAUUGUUAUUUAUGGGGGCUCUUACAUUUUUGGCUCUCUCCAGCAAAAUAAAAGGACAAAAAAUGAAAUGUGAAUGUAGAGUAACAAAAAUAGCACAUGGGAUUAAAAGAGACAUGAGAGACAGAAAAGGAGAAGCAUUCAUGGUCCACAGCACCUGAAAGGUACCAGGCUCCACUUGUGGUGGCUGAAUAAAUUAGGCCUGCCUGAGUUAAAGUUAUGUGACAGAAAUACAUAUAGGAAGCUUGCUGAUUAUGUGGACAUUAUUUUCUGUUAGACAAGUAUUUAUAGCUAAAAUAAAUAACAUGUAUUUUUAAGACUCAUAGGCUGACUCUUGCUAUGCAAAAAGAAUGCCGUCUAAUGAGUAACUCGUGCAGUAUCGAUGGCACCAAGCCUAAGGUAGACGUGACCUGUCAUCCACUACAUCCUUUAUUUUUCUCUGCCAUCUACAGACCUAACCAAGUUGAUUUAGUUUAGAUAAAUAGCUUUGACCCAUAAGUCAGAUGAGUUAAAUCCCACCUUCAGAGCAGAAAGACCAUGAAAUUUUUCUCCCAGACAGGUGAAAGUUGAAAGCCUGCCACCCCAGAGAAUGAAUACAGAAAAACAGAAGGUGAAUGGCAGCAUUGGUAUAUAUUAGGCAAAUGGACUGACUCUAGCUGUGUUAAAAUAAUUUCCCACACUGAAAGGCAAGUAAAAUGAUACAUAUCCAAUAGUUUUUGUGUUCCUUGCAGCCUUGACUUCUGUACUCCAGUGAAUCUGUGCACUGAAGUGUGAUUUAAAUAGAUGCACAUUGUCGAGAUUUAGGGAAUCCUAAGAAAGACUUCCUUAGAAACAUUCCUGUGAAAGUCUCAUCUCCUUGGUUGCAGUGCUGCUUUUUGCUUGGAAUUUAUUAUGUCUUUAAUUUUAUACUGUAUAUUGGUUGUGCUGCAACUUUAUCUUAUUCAGCUAUGGUCUCAAUCUGUUCUUGAAAAGCAGUGUACUUAUGAAAGUGCAUUGAAAUGCAGGAGAAUUGAGAAGAAUCAUCUUUGUGUGGCAUUAUGGGUGUUUAAAGAAAAGUGGAGGAAGAAAUGCAUUUCUGCUGUGCAGUGGGAUCAAUAUUUUGAUGAAUUUUAUGGCAAGCGAGGCUUUCCAUAGAGGAAGCUAAUCUUAACCCUCUUUUAGUUUCCAGGGCCUUAUAGGAGCUACGUUGUUCUUAUUAUACUUAUGAUUGUUCCCUUGUGGAAAUACCUCCUAAAUAUAAUGCAACUUCUGCUACUUCUGUAUGGAUUCCACUGCUCUGCUUCUUCAUACAUCAGAUACCAAUCUGGCUUGGCUCUGUUAGGAUUUAUCCACAGGUACAGCUGGAGAGGUAA